rnacentral:rRNA from 1 species
CGUGUAGGCGGUUGGUCAAGUCGGGUGUGAAAGCCCGAGGCUCAGCCUCGGAAGUGCAUCCGAAACUAGCCAGCUAGAGCGCGAUAGAGGAGGGUGGAAUUCCUGGUGUAGCGGUGAAAUGCGUAGAUAUCAGGAGGAACACCGGCGGCGAAGGCGGCCCUCUGGAUCGUUGCUGACGCUGAGACGCGAAAGCGUGGGGAGCAAACAGGAUUAGAUACCCUGGUAGUCCACGCCUUAAACGAUGGGUACUAGGUGUUCGGGGUGUUGACCCCCUGAGUGCCGCAGUUAACGCAUUAGUACCCCGCCUGGGGACUACGGCCGCAAGGUUAAA